rnacentral:rRNA from 1 species
AGCUUAACGGCUGAACCAGCAACUUGGAGGAAUGUAUAGCAUAGCUAAUUGCACUAAAAAACUAAAUUUAUUAGUGUAAAAUCGACUAUGUUGAAUAAAAUUCUGGGUAGGCUUUUGAUAAUGACAUUAUCUGUCCAUAAGUCUUGACCAAAUUACGUGCCAGCAGUCGCGGUAAUACGUAGAAGACAAGUGUUAUUCAUCUUUAAUAGGUUUAAAGGGUACCUAGACGGGAAAUAAAGCCUCAAAAAGGGACUAAUUUUCUAGAGUUUUAUGUGAAGGAGUAUUAAAGUACUAGAGGUGAAGAGAUGAAAUUCAGUCAUACCUUGAUGGCACAGGUUAAGGCGAAGGCAUCUUCUUAUGUAAAAACUGACGUUGAGGGACGAAGGCUUUGUGUCUCGAACAGGAUUAGAUACCCUAGUAGUCUAAGCAGACAAUGAUGAAUGUCAUAGAUUAGAUUAGAGAUGUAAUUUGAUCUAUAAAUGAAAGUGUAAGCAUUCCACCUCAAGAGUAAUUUGGCAACAUUGGAACUGAAAUCAUUAGACCGUUUCUGAAACCAGUAGUGAAGUAUGUUGUUUAAUUUGAUAAUCCGCAAAAAACCUUACCACUCGUCAUUCAUUUGAAUAGAUAUAUUUUAUCAUACAAGCGUUGCACGGCUGUCUUCAGUUAAUGUCGUGAGAUCAUGGUUAGUUCCAUUAAAUUAACGUAAACCCUUACUUUAUUUUAAGAUAAAGUAGUUCACCGCUAGAUGGAUGUGAUAA